rnacentral:rRNA from 1 species
GACGAACGCUGGCGGCGUGCUUAACACAUGCAAGUCGAACGAAGUGGCGAACGGGUGAGUAAUACGUGAGUAACCUGCCCUCCUUUUUGGGAUAAGCCUUGGAAACGGGGUCUAAUACCGGAUAAAGGGGGCUGGGCUCGCGGCCUAUCAGCUUGUUGGUGGGGUGAUGGCCUACCAAGGCGGUGACGGGUAGCCGGCGUGAGGGGGUGACCGGCCACAGUGGGACGGAGAUACGGCCCAGACGCCUACGGGAGGGAGCAGUGGGGGAUAUUGCACAAAGGGCGAAAGCCUGAUGCAGCGACGCCGAGUGGGGGUUGAAGGCUUUCGGGUUGUAAACCUCUUUCGGUAUCGAACGGGUAGGUAGCGAAGAAGCGCCGGCUAACUACGUGCCAGCAGCCGCGGUAAUAC